ACGGGAGGCAGCAGUGGGGAAUAUUGCGCAAUGGGCGAAAGCCUGACGCAGCGACGCCGCGUGAGGGAUGACGGCCUUCGGGUUGUAAACCUCUUUCGCCAGGGACGAAGCGAGAGUGACGGUACCUGGAGAAGAAGCACCGGCUAACUACGUGCCAGCAGCCGCGGUAAUACGUAGGGUGCGAGCGUUGUCCGGAAUUAUUGGGCGUAAAGAGCUCGUAGGCGGUUUGUUGCGUCGGCCGUGAAAACUUCACGCUUAACGUGGAGCUUGCGGUCGAUACGGGCAGACUUGAGUUCGGUAGGGGAGACUGGAAUUCCUGGUGUAGCGGUGAAAUGCGCAGAUAUCAGGAGGAACACCGGUGGCGAAGGCGGGUCUCUGGGCCGAUACUGACGCUGAGGAGCGAAAGCGUGGGGAGCGAACAGGAUUAGAUACCCUGGUA
rnacentral:rRNA from 1 species